CCUACGGGAGGCAGCAGUGGGGAAUAUUGCACAAUGGGGGGAACCCUGAUGCAGCGACGCCGCGUGGGUGAAGGAGUAUUUCGGUAUGUAAAGCCCUAUCAGCAGGGAAGAACAAUGACGGUACCUGACUAAGAAGCACCGGCUAAACACGUGCCAGCAGCCGCGGCAAUCUGUAUGGUGCAAGCGUUAUCCGGAUUUACUGGGGGUAAAGGGAGCGCAGGCGGGGCGUUAAGCCUGGUGUGAAAGGCCGGGGCCCAACCGCGGGACUGCAUUGGGAACUGGCCCGCUGGAGUGAGGGAGGGGUAAGCGGAAUUCCUAGUGUAGCGGUGAAAUGCGUAGAUAUUAGGAGGAACACCAGUGGCGAAGGCGGCCUACUGGACGGUGACUGACGCUGAGGCUCGAAAGCGUGGGGAGCAAACAGGAUUAGAUACCCGUGUAGUC
rnacentral:rRNA from 1 species